CUUCCAUCUGGGCUGAGCUGGGUCACUGUGAGUCAACAUGCCCGAGUGCUGUGAACGUUAUGAGAGGGCCUUGUUGGGAACACGUGCUCCUGGGAAUCAGCCCUUCCCUCUGUCCUGUUCCCACUCCUCCCCGACGAUGCUCCUGCUCAGAACCCACUCCUCACCUCAGUGAAGCAACGCAGCGGGCACCCUGUGGACAAAGCUGGAUAUUGGCUCUGAAUAAAAGCGAAUCAUGGGGAAAAUCAGUGUCUCAGUAAAAUGGGGUUUUCUUAGUAGAGACCAGACUGUGAAGGACCUUGCUUCAUUCCAUCUUUGAGGAGGAUGAUGAUUCAGGGACAUUGGCCCAAGAUCAAAGUGGUAUUUUUAGGUUGUAUUUACUUAGCUAUUUGCCGUCUACCUCCUUAUUUCCAGGUAGCAACUUCCUUCUUAUAUCUGAGAUGUUUAAGAGAUGAUGAAACCAGCUUGCACACACUUCUCAAAGUGUGUUUGUUCGCAUCCAUUAUUUCACUGGGGAC
rnacentral:lncRNA from 1 species